rnacentral:rRNA from 1 species
GGAGCCAUCCUUGAAAUACCACCCUUUAAUGUUUGAUGUUCUAACUCGGCCCCGUAAUCCGGGGUGAGGACAGUGUCUGGUGGGUAGUUUGACUGGGGCGGUCUCCUCCCAAAGAGUAACGGAGGAGCACGAAGGUUAGCUAAUCACGGUCGGACAUCGUGAGGUUAGUGCAAAGGCAUAAGCUAGCUUGACUGCGAGAGUGACGGCUCGAGCAGGUGCGAAAGCAGGUCUUAGUGAUCCGGUGGUUCUGAAUGGAAGGGCCAUCGCUCAACGGAUAAAAGGUACUCCGGGGAUAACAGGCUGAUA